UACGUAGGGGCCAAGCGUUGUCCGGAUUUAUUGGGCGUAAAGAGCUCGUAGGCGGUUCGGCAAGUCGGAUGUGAAAUCUCCACGCUUAACGUGGAGGAGCCAUUCGAAACUGCCGUGACUCGAGUCCGGUAGGGGAGUGUGGAAUUCCCGGUGUAGCGGUGAAAUGCGCAGAUAUCGGGAGGAACACCAAUUGCGAAGGCAGCUCGCUGGGACGUUACUGACGCUGAGACGCGAAAGCGUGGGGAGCAAACAGG
rnacentral:rRNA from 1 species